rnacentral:rRNA from 1 species
CGAUCUGUAGCUGGUCUGAGAGGACGACCAGCCACACUGGGACUGAGACACGGCCCAGACUCCUACGGGAGGCAGCAGUGGGGAAUUUUGGACAAUGGGCGAAAGCCUGAUCCAGCCAUGCCGCGUGCAGGAUGAAGGCCUUCGGGUUGUAAACUGCUUUUGUACGGAACGAAACGGCCUUUUCUAAUAAAGAAGGCUAAUGACGGUACCGUAAGAAU